CCGAUGCAAACUCCGAAUACCAAUGAGUACUAUCCGGGAGACAGACUGCGGGUGCUAACGUCCGUAGUCAAGAGGAAAACAAUCCAGACCGCCAGCUAAGGCCCCAAAAUCAUAGUUAAGUGGGAAACGAUGUGGGAAGGCACAGACAGCCAGGAUGUUGGCUUAGAAGCAGCCAUCAUUUAAAGAAAGCGUAAUAGCUCACUAGUCGAGUCGGCCUGCGCGGAAGAUGUAACGGGGCUAAACCAUGCACCGAAGCUGCGGCAGCGACACUAUGUGUUGUUGGGUAGGGGAGCGUUCUGUAAGCCGUUGAAGGUGAACUGUGAGGUUUGCUGGAGGUAUCAGAAGUGCGAAUGCUGACAUGAGUAACGACAAUGGGUGUGAAAAACACCCACGCCGAAAGACCAAGGUUUCCUGCGCAACGUUAAUCGACGCAGGGUUAGUCGGUCCCUAAGGCGAGGCUGAAAAGCGUAGUCGAUGGAAAACAGGUUAAUAUUCCUGUACUUCUGGUUAUUGCGAUGGAGGGACGGAGAAGGCUAGGCCAGCUUGGCGUUGGUUGUCCAAGUUUAAGGUGGUAGG
rnacentral:rRNA from 1 species